ensembl:lncRNA
UUUUUGUAUUGAUUCGUGUUUUACGUUUGUUGAUUAAACAUGGAUCGCAAUCUACACGCCGCAUUUUGGUCCGACUCUCCUUCACCAAAAGAGAACCAUUACAUAAUUCCCCCAUGCUCCACCCAUGGCCCUCUGAAGAACUAAACAGACCUGUGCCCUCUGGAGAUCGGAAAAGCCAUUAACCCCUUUGAAGAACUGAAAAGUCUGUGCCCCUCUGAAGAACUGAAUCCCCUGUCAAAUCCUGUCCUGCCCUUAGUGGAGGAGUUGGGCUCUUCUCCAACACCAUCCAUCCAUCCAUCCAUGAUGAACCUUGUCCUGC